CCCUUAGAUGAUUUGGGCUGCACGCGCGCUACACUGACCCUAACAAUGAGUAACUGUCUGGCCUGAGAUGGCUGGGUAGCCUUUUCAACCCAUGUCAUGAUUGGGCUAGAUUUUUGUAAGUCUUGAUCUCUAACGAGGAAUCCCUAGUAUGCGUGAAUCAUCAAUCCAUGCAGAUUAUGUCCCUGCCCUUUGUACACACCGCCCGUCGCUCCUACUGAUUGGGUGAUCCGGUGAGCUGUUCGGCCAUAGCAAUGUUUCUUGAGCAGGGCAAUGAAUGUUUCGCAAACCUUGCCACUUAGAGGAAGGAGAAGUCGUAACA
rnacentral:rRNA from 1 species